rnacentral:rRNA from 1 species
UACGUAGGGUGCGAGCGUUGUCCGGAAUUAUUGGGCGUAAAGAGCUCGUAGGCGGUGUGUCACGUCGGCCGUGAAAACCUGCAGCUUGACUGUGGCGUGCGGUCGAUACGGGCAUCACUGGAGUUCGGCAGGGGAGACUGGAAUUCCUGGUGUAGCGGUGGAAUGCGCAGAUAUCAGGAGGAACACCCGGUGGCGAAGGCGGGUCUCUGGGCCGAUACUGACGCUGGAGGAGCGGAAAGCAUGGGUAGCGAAACAGG